UGUUUGAGGAACUCGGCAGGCCUAUCACGUGCAAGACGAACGGUAACAUGAGAGCUUGCUCUUGAUGACGAGUGGCGCACGGGUGCGUAACGCGUAUGCAAUCUACCUAUAACUGAGGGAUAGCCCAGAGAAAUUUGGAUUAAUACCUCAUAAUAAUAUUUUUUGGCAUCAUUAAAUAUUUAAAACUCCGGUGGUUAUAGAUGAGCAUGCGUUCUAUUAGUUUGUUGGUGAGGUAAAAGCUCACCAAGACUACGAUAGAUAGGGGGCCUGAAAGGGUGAUCCCCCACACUGGUACUGAGACACGGACCAGACUCCUACGGGAGGCAGCAGUGAGGAAUAUUGCACAAUGGAGGAAACUCUGAUGCAGCCAUGCCGCGUGCAGGAUGACGGCCCUACGGGUUGUAAACUGCUUUUUUA
rnacentral:rRNA from 1 species